GAACGCUGGCGGCAGGCCUAACACAUGCAAGUCGAGCGGUAACAGAAAGAAAGCUUGCUUUCUUUGCUGACGAGCGGCGGACGGGUGAGUAAUGCCUGGGAAUAUGCCUUAGUGUGGGGGAUAACUAUUGGAAACGAUAGCUAAUACCGCAUAACGUCUUCGGACCAAAGAGGGGGACCUUCGGGCCUCUCGCGCUAAGAUUAGCCCAGGUGGGAUUAGCUAGUUGGUGAGGUAAAGGCUCACCAAGGCAACGAUCCCUAGCUGGUCUGAGAGGAUGAUCAGCCACACUGGAACUGAGACACGGUCCAGACUCCUACGGGAGGCAGCAGUGGGAAUAUUGCACAAUGGGGGAAACCCUGAUGCAGCCAUGCCGCGUGUAUGAAGAAGGCCUUCGGGUUGUAAAGUACUUUCAGUCGUGAGGAAGGCAUUGUAGUUAAUAGCUGCAGUGCUUGACGUUAGCGACAGAAGAAGCACCGGCUAACUUCGUG
rnacentral:rRNA from 1 species